GGCAAUCAUCAUGACUCUGAGAGGACUGGUCUUGUUUCUCCUCCUCUGGAGUUCGGAGAGCAGCAGACGCGCCGAAAUCCCAGAUGACGACACCGUGUUCGACCUGUUCGAGCUCUCGCGCGUGCACAAGAAGAACCACGGUGUGAGUCUGGUGAAAGGCCCGGAUCCCUACAGCCCGGCCUAUAAGAUCCUGAACCCGAGCCUGAUCCCACCGGUGCCGGAUCUGUCGUUCCGGGAUCUGCUGUUCUCCAUCCAGACGGAGCGCGGGUUCGUGUUUACUGCGAGCCUGAAGCAGGUGAAGCGCACGCGGGGGAGUCUGCUCUCGGUGGAGCGCACCGACGGAUCCGGCUCCGUCUUCGAGAUCAUCUCCAACGGGAAGGCCAACACGCUGGAUCUGGUGUUCUGGAGCGCCGGCGGGCAGCAGGUGGUGUCGGUGGAGGAUGUGGAGCUGGCGGACGGACACUGGAGGAACAUUACACUGUUCGUGCAGGAGGACCGCGCACAGGUGUACGUGGGCUGCGAGGAGAUCAACACACAGGAGCUGGAUUUACCAAUACAGCAGAUCCUGGAUCAGCAGAACGCAGAGAUAUCCGGAUUGAGGAUCGCUAAAGGAGCCGCCAAAUCUGACCGCUUCAUGGGAGUCCUCCAGAAUGUGCGGUUUGUGUUUGGGACGACGGUGGACGCGAUUUUACGCAAUAAAGGAUGCCAGAGCUCGAGCUUCAUCCCUGACGUCCUGACCCUGGAGAAACACGUCAACGGGUCGAGUCCCGCCAUCCGCACACACUACACCGGACACAAGACUAAAGAUCUGCAGGACGUCUGCGGUUUCUCCUGUGAUGAUCUGACCAGCAUGUUUAAGGAGCUGAAGGGUCUGGGUGUAGUGGUGAAGCAGCUGUCCAAUGAUCUCCGGCAGGUGGUGAGGAUCCAACCCACACUGUAAAAAAAGCACUUAAAUUCCCCGUCAGAUUGUAUUGUGUAUGGUAAAACUCCAGCAGCCACAGCUGCCAUCAAGCCAUAAGCAAUGCAGUCAGAUAGUUAAAGAAAUGCCUAUGUGUUUGGAUAAAUUACAGGAUUUCGUUCAUGUAUACACCAGUGUUUUAAUUGGGGCUGCACAAUAUACGGUUUCAGCAUUGAUAUCGCCAUGUGCAGAUCUGCAACAGCCACAUCGCAGGAUCUGCUGAGCUGUGAUUAUAAUGACAUUUCAGAAGGGGAAUUGUGCAGUCAAGAUGAAGUUGAACCCUAAUAGAGUUACAGAUCUUCAUCUGGACGGGUUUUUAAGAGCGUGACUAAGAUAUCAAGCAGAUGUAAACCAAGAAAUUCUAAAGUUUAUAGAUUUACACAUUGUUUAUGCAAUGAAGACAGUACAGUGUUACUCUAUUAAUGUUGAAUUUAUGUUCUUAAAUGCUUUUAGACUCCACAGAAAACCAUAAAACACAAAGCAAUGUUUUUUAAAAAUCUUUCUUCUGUUGAAUUGCUUGCAAAUUGCUUAUAUUGGUUCAUGUGAUGUAUGGAUUAUUUCCAAGUAGAGAUAUUUAGGCCACCUUUUGUGAAAAUAUAUUAAUAUCACAAUGUAUAUUACAGAAAAACUAAAUGUCCCUGUAACCAUUGACUUCAAUAGUAUUUGCCUUUCCUGCUGUGGAAGUCAAUGGUUACAGGUUUUCAGCAUUCUUCAGAUCUUCUUGAGUGUUUAAAUUUUUAACCAUUCCAAGUUUAAAUGUUAGAAUGUUCUUAAUGAAUAGGGCAUAGGGGGGAUAAGUGAGAAUAGAGCACAGCCAGGAUCUAUGCUUCUACAUACAGCUCCAGAGGUGUAGCUGCAAGCAUGGAAGUUUGUGAAGCACUUUGCGAAUGUUCGUUGGGAUGAUGGAAUUGGGAAACGCCAAAUCAACAAACUAUGUUUGUAAUGACACAACUUGCGACAUUUUUUGGCUAACAAUGGUUUUGGGAAACCCACCCCAGAUCAGUUCAUUUUGGAAAAUAUUUUUCUUAUUAAAUAAUCCAGUUUCUCCCAAUUUACUCAUGUAAAACUGCAAAGUUGAGUAAUCUGAUGGUAUUUAUUGAACAUGCACUAUUAAAAAUUCGGUAACACUUUAUAAUGACUGCACACUAUAAAUCCUUUAUUAAGCAUUAGCAAAUAGUGAAUUCAUUAUCUAAUAAGCAUUAACUCUACAUUAAUAAGCGUUAGUUAGCAGUUUAUAACUGCAGCUACAAAUGCUCUAUUCUUGACAUACAAACAUAUUUAAAAUGUGCUUAAUAAUUGUAUUUUCAUGCUUUGUUAAUGACUUAUUUUUCAUUACUAAAUUAAGUAUCGCAUUAUUUACAAACCAGUUGUAUUUAAGAGUAGUUGAAGGCUUUAAGGAUCAUUCAGAAUGAGUUAGUAAAUUAUUGAUAAAUUAUUGAAAUCAACAUUUAAAUGUCUUAUUGUUCAGGCAUAUAUUAAUGGUUACUAUAUAUGUUAAUAAAUGCUUUAUUAACUCAACUUCAUGCAGUUUUGUGACCUAAUCUAAAGUGAGGACUAUUCAUGCUUUAUAAACCUCUUAUAAAUGACAAAUAAAGGCUCAGUUAAAUUCUAAACAGGAAAAACAACAUUAUUCAUAACUAUUCAUUUAAAGAUACACAAAUGAAACUGUACUUCAAAUAAAAAAUAAAUCUUUACAACCUGAUCUAAAAUAAAAUCACUGUAGAGUUUAAACAUCGCAUCUUAUUAUAUUGUUACAUUAUUAUAUUGUUGUUGUUGUUUUAUCCAGUUUUGUUGUAUUUUGACACUCCUGUUAUUCAGCAAUGUUUAAACUUUACAGUAAUUUCACUUUUUAGAAAAGAUUGCAAAGAUUAUUGUUCACUUGAUUCUGAGCCUGUAAUAGUCAUUUAUAAGGGAUUUAUAAAGCAUGAAUAGUCCUCACUUUAGAUUAGGUCACAAAACUGCAUGAAGUUGAAUUAAUAAAGCAUUUAUUAACAUAUUAGUUGACUAUUAGUAUAUGCCUGAAUAAUAAGACAUAUAAAUGUUGAUUUCAAUAGUUUAUUAAUCAUUUACUAACUCAUUCUGAAUGAUCCUAAAAACCCUCAACUACUCUUAAAUACAACUGGUUUGUAAAUAAUGCAAUACUUAAUUUAGUAAUGAAAAAUAAAUCAUUAACUAAGUAUGUAAAUACAGUUAUUAAGCACAUUAUAUAGGUGCUUAUAAGUCAAGAAUAGAGCAUUUGUAGCUGCAGUUAUAAACUGUUUACUAACGUUUAAUAAUGUAGAGGUAAUGCUUAACAGAUAAUGAAUUAACUAGAUGCUAAUGCUUAAUAAAUGAUUCAUAGCGUGUAGUUAUUUUAAAGUGUUACCGAAAAUUCUUAAAAGGAGAGUUCACCCAAAAAUGAAACGUUCUCAUUAUUUACUCUCUAUUUAUUUAGUUUCUUUCCUCCACUGAACACUGAAGAAGAGAUUUUGAAAAAUGUUAGAAACCAUUGACUUCCAUAGCAGGAAAAAAAAUACAAGAGAAGUCAACGGUUACCGGUGUUCAACAUUCUUCUAAAGAUCUUUUUGUGUUGUAACAGAAACUCAUGCACUGCAAAGCCCAGAAAGUUAAGGUAACUCAAACCGUUUGAGGAAACCGAUUGCAACAAACCAUUUAAGUUCAAAAGCUAAUCAUAAUGAGUGCUGUGAACCUUAAUCCCUUGAGUAAACGAAGCAAUCUGAGCACAGCAAAACCCAAUAAAUGAAGAGAACUCAAACCAACUGAGUGCUGUGAACUCAAUAAGUCAACUCAAACCAUUUGAGGAAACCGAUUGCUACAAACCAUUUGAGUUAAAAAAAAAAAAGAUCUAUAUGAGUACUGUGAUCUUACUGCAUUUAAGCUGAAGUAAGCUAAAGUAAACUCUUUACCUUCAACACUGAGUUUUCAGUUAAUUUUGAGUUAACCACACUCAUUUUAUUUGAUAAAGUUGACUGCAGGGUUUUACAAUAUCGCUUUAAAACAAGUGAAUGAUGACAGAAUGUGGAGUUUUGUGUGAACUGCCCCUUUAAGCUGCUUUUAACACCGUCUACAUAGUCAGGCAUGUUGUAGAGAUAGAGGAGUUGUGCUCCUCCACUCUGAUGAUCCAGACGUGUGUUCCUCAUUCACUUCCCAUUAAAGAUCAAAGCAUGUCCUGAUGAUUUUCCUCUGUGUUCUGUUUCCGUUCAGACGGCAGACAACAACUUAAUCAAGACACAGAUUAAAGUCCACGAAGGAGUGUGUCUGCACAACAGAAUCGUGUAUCAGGACCGAGACGAGUGGACGGUGGACAGCUGCACACACUGCACGUGCCAGGUACACACACAGCCUUUACUGUUCACUGCACAGACAUGCCUUUCUUCAUCAGUUUCUGUCCUGUUUCCAGUCCAAAUAUCCAAACAUUCUUAAAUCAAGAAGCUUUUCUAGACAAGCAAAACAAGUCUGUCAAAAUAAUAUGCAAAAUUAAGAGAGUGUUUCCCGUUAAAGCUAACGCAAUACUCUGGCAGUGGGUUAGUCGAGUUUACUCAAUUAUCUGAAAAACUCACAGCAUCCAUGCGGGAUAACAGAGCGCCAUCUUAACUCUGUCUGUCCUACACUCGCCACUCUACAGUGUGUUUUCUGAGUUCUGAGGUGAGGGAUGUUUUCAUUUGCCAUUCUUUGCCAGUCUUUUAAAAUGGAAAUGGAAAGCAGAAUAAAGCCGGCGGAUCAGCGCGCUGCUACUGAACACUUAUGAUUUGAUUCACACUUAUGAUUAAUUCUCGGGAUAUUGCGGCUUUUGCUGUCUGAUGCAGGUGAUGUUUAGUGGCUUUUGUCAACAAACUGUUGUUUGUGAAUGCGCUGACGCUGUGAUUUACAUGAUUUGAAGCAGAUCUGUGUGUUGAUGGUGAACAACCUGCCUAAAGCAUUCACUCAGAGCCAUCAGCUCAAUUUGGCUAAAGUGGCGUUUAGCGGCUUUUACAUCUGAACUGUAUGUAUAUACUGAAUAUACAUGUGUGUGUGUGUGUGUGUGUGUGUGUGUGUGUGUGUGUGUGUGUGUGUGUGUGUGUGUGUGUGUGUGUGUUUGUUUGUUGUUUGUUUGUUUGUGUUUGUUUAUGUUUAUGUAUGUGUUUACACGUGUGCGUUUGUGUGUCUGUGUGUGUUUGUUGUUUGUUUGUUUGUUUGUUUGUGUUUGUUUAUGUUUGUGUAUGUGUUUACACGUGUGUGUGUGCGUUUGCGUGUCUGUGUGUGUGUUUGUGUGUGUGUGUUUAUGUAUGUGUUUAUAUGUGAUAUGUUUGUAUAUAUGUGUGUGUGUGUGUUUAUACAUACAUUCAAAUGUGUUUGUAUGAGUGUAUGUUUGUGUGUGUUUUUGUUUAAAUGUGUUUGUUUAUUUUUGUGUAUGUGUUUACAUGUGUGUGUGUGUGUGUGCGCGCGUGUAACUACAUGUUUGUGUGAGUGUAGGUUUGUGUAAGUGUUGGAUUAUGUUGGUCUAUGUUUACAUGUGUGUGUGUGUGUGCGCGUGCG
ensembl:lincRNA